UCAUAUCAGGUUGAAACACCGGUUUCCACCAGAUCAUCGAAGUUAAGCAACAUCGAGCCUGGUUAGUACCUAGAAUGGUGACCACUUGGGAAUACCAGAUGCU